rnacentral:sRNA from 1 species
GGCCGCCAGGACGGGAUGACCGGAGCCUCCGCCCCGCGGCGCCCGCGGCUCGCCUCGGCCUCCCGGGCGCUCUGACCGCGCGUCCCCGGCCCGCCAUGGCCCCUUCGCUCUCGCCCGGGCCCGCCGCCCUGCGCCGCGCGCUGCAGCUGCUGCUGCUGCUGGCCGCGGAGUGCGCGCUUGCCGCGCUGUUGCCGGCGCGCGAGGCCACGCAGUUCCUGCGGCCCAGGCAGCGCCGCGCCUUCCAGGUCUUCGAGGAGGCCAAGCAGGGCCACCUGGAGAGGGAGUGCGUGGAGGAGCUGUGCAGCCGCGAGGAGGCGCGGGAGGUGUUCGAGAACGACCCCGAGACGGAUUAUUUUUACCCAAGAUACUUAGCUUUAUUCCGUGUUAGUGGAACCUCAGGCAAAUGCUGUUAUCUGCAAACCCCUUCUCUGAGUUGAUGCCAGGCUCAGCUCCUUGUCAGGACAUGUAAUUGAUUUUGUCCUCCGGUUUUCUGAUCUCAGCACUAAUCACUUCUGAAGUCACUGAGGACCCCAA